rnacentral:lncRNA from 1 species
CGAGCCUCCUAAGAUACUUUAGAGACACUUCGGAAGAAUUCCGGAAGAUAACUUCAUUAGGUUACAGCUUAAGGAAGAAAGCCCAGACUUGAAAGGGGCUAAGGUCCUCCCUUGGGGGAGUAAUUUACAACCGGGGUCACCAGCCUCGGGUCGGUGAGCAUGGCCUCUCCCCGGCCCCUCAGGGCCAGGGCGGCAUCAAC